rnacentral:ncRNA from 1 species
AAGGCCUGAUGUGUGUGAGAUUACCCGCUGAAUUUAAGCAUAUAAGUAAGCGGAGGAAAAGAAACUAACUAGGAUUCCCUUAGUAAUGGCGAAUGAACAGGGAUCAGCUCAGUGCCAAAUCGGAAUCACUUGUGGUUCUGAAAUGUGGCUUGAAGGCAGUACCAGUGGCAUCGCGGACGAAAGUCUCUUGGAAAAGAGCGUCAUAGAGGGUGAGAAUCCCGUGAGUCGUUCGCCGUUUGUCACGUACGGUCUGCGUUCUAACGAGUCGCGUUCCUUGGGAUUGGAGCGUAAACGGGUGGUAAAUUUCAUCCAAAGCAAAAUAUAUACUCGAGACCGAUAGCACAAAAGUACCGUGAGGGAAAGGUGAAAAGAACUUUGAGAAGAGGGUUAAAUAGUGCCUGAAAUCGUUGAGAAGGAAGCGGAUGCCGCCGUUGCAUAUGCUGAUUGUAGGAUUGCUGCUCGCUCCUGUCUUCUGCUACUCAUUCACAGACCUGGUCGUGUUGAGCAGUUGUUUGGCAGAUGUUAGUGGUGUUUCCUACUUUCAGUCGUCAGCAUCACUGGCUGAGUGGAAAUAAUCCUUGGAUGCUAAUUGGGUUCGCUAUCUGUGAAUUGGUUGCUUCCUUGCGAUACUCACUACUCGGUCAGUGAGGAAGUGCGUUUGCUGGUCAACGAGCUUUCUACUGU